UUGCCCCUACGGGAGGCAGCAGUGAGGAAUAUUGGUCAAUGGCCGAGAGGCUGAACCAGCCACGUCGCGUGAGGGAUGACGGCCCUACGGGUUGUAAACCUCUUUUGUCGGGGAGCAAGACCCGCCUCGGGCAGGCGGAGCGAGAGUACCCGAAGAAAAAGCAUCGGCUAACUCCGUGCCAGCAGCCGCGGUAAUACGGAGGAUGCGAGCGUUAUCCGGAUUUAUUGGGUUUAAAGGGUGCGCAGGCGGAGCAUCAAGUCAGCGGUAAAA
rnacentral:rRNA from 1 species